rnacentral:misc_RNA from 1 species
GAUGAAGAACGUAGCGAAAUGCGAUACGUAAUGUGAAUUGCAGAAUUCAGUGAAUCAUCGAAUCUUUGAACGCACAUUGCGCCCCCUGGAAUUCCGGGGGGCAUGCCUGUUCGAGCGUCUCAGGGACGAACCCUCGCGCGGGUGUACGCGCGGUCGUGGCUGCGGUGGCGUGCCCGAGGCGGCGGCCACCGCGCUGGAAUCCAUGGGCGGACGCCUGCCGCGUGGCCGAGCGUGAUAUGACGCAUUGGCGCUCGCACGCGGAGAGGCUGCCAGCCCUGGCCCGUCUGUCGGGCGGGGGAGAGCAAGACACGUGAACUCCUCGAAUCAGGUAGGGAUACCCGCUGAACUUAAGCAUAUCAAUAAGCGGAGGA